rnacentral:rRNA from 1 species
CAGUCGCCGCGGUAAUACGUAGGGCGCAAGCGUUGUCCGGAAUUAUUGGGCGUAAAGAGCUCGUAGGCGGUCUGUCGCGUCUGGUGUGAAAUCCCGAGGCUCAACCUCGGGCUUGCAUCGGGUACGGGCAGACUAGAGUGCGGUAGGGGAGACUGGAAUUCCUGGUGUAGCGGUGGAAUGCGCAGAUAUCAGGAGGAACACCGAUGGCGAAGGCAGGUCUCUGGGCCGCAACUGACGCUGAGGAGCGAAAGCAUGGGGAGCGAACAGGAUUAGAUACCCCAGUAGUCCCUGUCUCUUAUAC